UGCCAGCCGCCGCGGUAACACGUAAGGGGCAAGCGCUGUCCGGAAUCACUGGGCGUAAAGGGAGCGUAGGUGGCGAGAUAAGUCAGAUGUGAAAGUUUGCGGCUCAACCCCGGAAGUGCACUUGAAACAGCAAGACUUGAAUACGGUAGAGGAGAGAGGAAUUCCUGGUGUAGAGGUGAAAUUCGUAGAUAUCAGGAGGAACACCGAUGGCGAAGGCAUCUCUCUGGGUCGAUAUUGACGCUGAGGCGCGAAGGCGUGGGUAGCGAACGGGAUUAGAUA
rnacentral:rRNA from 1 species